rnacentral:rRNA from 1 species
UACGUAGGGGGCAAGCGUUGUCCGGAAUUAUUGGGCGUAAAGAGCUCGUAGGCGGUCUGUCGCGUCGGCUGUGAAAACUCGGGGCUCAACCCCGAGCCUGCAGUCGAUACGGGCAGACUAGAGUGCUGUAGGGGAGACUGGAAUUCCUGGUGUAGCGGUGAAAUGCGCAGAUAUCAGGAGGAACACCGGUGGCGAAGGCGGGGUCUCUGGGCAGUAACUGACGCUGAGGAGCGAAAGCGUGGGGAGCGAACAGG